rnacentral:rRNA from 1 species
AGUGAACGCUGGCGGCAGGCCUAACACAUGCAAGUCGAACGGCAGCACAGUAAGAGCUUGCUCUUACGGGUGGCGAGUGGCGGACGGGUGAGGAAUACAUCGGAAUCUACUUUUUCGUGGGGGAUAACGUAGGGAAACUUACGCUAAUACCGCAUACGACCUACGGGUGAAAGCAGGGGAACUUCGGACCUUGCGCGAUUGAAUGAGCCGAUGUCGGAUUAGCUAGUUGGCGGGGUAAAGGCCCACCAAGGCGACGAUCCGUAGCUGGUCUGAGAGGAUGAUCAGCCACACUGGAACUGAGACACGGUCCAGACUCCUACGGGAGGCAGCAGUGGGGAAUAUUGGACAAAGGGCGCAAGCCUGAUCCAGCCAUACCGCGUGGGUGAAGAAGGCCUUCGGGUUGUAAAGCCCUUUUGUUGGGAAAGAAAAGCAGCAGGUUAAUACCCCGCUGUUCUGACGGUACCCAAAGAAUAAGCACCGGCUAACUUCGUG